rnacentral:rRNA from 1 species
UGGCCUAUCUUGUUGGUCUGUAGGACCGGAGUAAUGAUUAAGAGGGACAGUCGGGGGCAUUCGUAUUUCAUUGUCAGAGGUGAAAUUCUUGGAUUUAUGAAAGACGAACUACUGCGAAAGCAUUUGCCAACGAUGUUUUCAUUAAUCAAGAACGAAAGUUUGGGGCUCGAAGACGAUUAGAUACCGUCGCAAUCUCUUCCAUCAACCAUGCCGACUAGGGAUUGUCGCGAGUA